GAAUCUUGGGAAUGGGCGAAAGCCUGACCCAGCAACGCCGCGUGGGCGAUGAAGGCCUUCGGGUCGUAAAGCCCUUUUGCGGGGGAAGAUGAUGACGGUACCCCGCGAAUAAGCCACGGCUAACUACGUGCCAGCAGCCGCGGUAAUACGUAGGUGGCAAGCGUUGUCCGGAUUUACUGGGCGUAAAGGGCGUGCAGGCGGUUUGUUAAGUCUAGGGUGAAAGCUCCCGGCUCAACUGGGAUAGGUCCUUGGAUACUGGCAGACUUGAGGAGAGUAGAGGAGAGUGGAAUUCCCGGUGUAGUGGUGAUAUGCGUAGAUAUCGGGAGGAACACCAGUGGCGAAGGCGGCUCUCUGGGCUCUACCUGACGCUGAGACGCGAAAGCGUGGGGAGCGAACCGG
rnacentral:rRNA from 1 species